rnacentral:lncRNA from 1 species
UAAGAACCCAACUAGGAUCCACUGGGAUGUGGGUUCAAUCCCUGGCCUCGCUCAGUGGGUUAAGGAUACAGCAUUGCCGUGAGCUGUGGUGCAGGUCACAGAUGCAGCUCAGAUCCUGCGUUGCUGUGGCUGUGGUGCAGGCCGGUAGCUGCAGCUGGCUCAACCCCUAGCCUGAGAACAUCCAUAUGCUGCAGGGGCGGCCCUAAAAAGCCAAAAAAACAAAAAAAAAAAAGCUGCAGGUCUUUGUCCUAGGCUCCCAUGAAACUGACAGUCUGUGGCUUCCUCAGUCAAUAGGCUGGAGCAGCACCCAGACGUGUCCUCUCAAGAUCCAGACACGCCAAGCCCGUGCCUUUCUUGGUUGUGGGCAGUGCAAGGCGCAGCCGGGAGACCGUGACGGUCCAGAGGCCACUGGUUCGUCCUGGAAUUGAGCCGUCGCCGUCCAGGGCACGGCUUCCUGCUCACCAGGGCCACUGCUGUGACGUCCCCAGUGCAUCCAAAUGAGGUGCACUCUCAGGGCUCAUGGGAUCACUGCGUCUGUCUGUGAGGGCUCCACCUCGCAGCCUCGUCGGAGCCCAGGCCGUGUCUGGUCGCAUGGAUCGUCCCUGUGUCCAGCUGACAGAACAGGAGAGGCCCGCCUCUGACCUGCACCUGGAUCCGCACGGUGUGCUGGCAUCCGCUGCACCCCACACAGGCUCAGGGCCUUGGAAGAUUGCAGGUGGCAAACCAGGCGGUACCUCUGGCGGCCCACUUCAGGUGGAGAGAGCCAGCCGAGCCCUGAUCCGUAUGCGCCCUUGUCUGUGACUGUCCAGCUGGCCCUCCACGGCAGAGAAGAGACCGCAGGGGGGUAUCCAGCAGGUCUCUCCCGUCCCGCAGGACACGCACUGGAAGCACGCUCUGGUGGGCGGGGUGACACCUGUGGAUGUCACCCAGCCUCUUAAGUGGCAGGAAAGGAGACCUGCAUUGGCUCAACACCACCCCCUCUCACAAAGGCUUCCUGGCUUCUGCAGCUCCUCAGUCCCUGCACUGCCAACCACAGACGCCAAUGCGGAGCCCUUGACGAGGCAGGCAGUCCCCUCCACCACAGAGGAGGCAGUAGUUGGUCCCACCAGGAACAGACACGUUCCUGUCUGCGGGGCGUCUGCCAACAGUGCGAUCUGAGGACCUGGAGAAUGUCUUACCUGCUGCCUUAGCUCUGUGUGACGGCGCCUCUUUGCAGCAGGCCCACGUUUUAUUUGUUGUACGGUCGCACCUGCUGCACAUGGAAGGUCCCACCCAGCCUAGGGAUCGAAUCCAAGCCACAGCUGCAACCUAUACCGCAGCUGGGGCAAUGCUGAAUCCUUUAACCCACUGCACCGGGCUGGGAGUCAAACCCGCACCUUCCCAGCAACCCAAGCCACUGCACUCGGAUGCUUAACCCACUGUGCCCCAGUGGGAACUCCAGCAGCAGGCAUAUUUUAAAGCAAUGAAAGUGUGCAGGAUGAGCUCACGUGGAAGCCACUGGUGUCACCACGUUGGGGGAGCUUAUUGAGGACAUGACCUGUGGAAGUUUGACCUGUGAGCCAGGCCCCCAACAGAGGCCCCCACCGGCUCCCUGUCCUUGGAAGGUGCUUUCUGCCCCAAGGCUGCAGCCUCGAGACCGGCUGGAAGGUGUGCAUGACCGAUGCCAGGCAAGGCCUCUGUAUAAGCGCUUAUGAUUGUGGCAGGUCGGUGCAGAGACCUAUUGCCCCUGGCCACCCAAGACAAACCUCGUGAGCUCCCUGUGGUGCCGAGGUCCAGCCCCAGCAGCCAGGGAGCGCUGAAGGAGAGGCUGGGCUACAAACGGUGUGGAAAGAAUUGCAGCCAACUCCUCAGCUGCAUGCUGCAGAUGACCCAAUUUAUUAAACGAAAAGCAUCAGUUUUUAUACCAUAUCACAAUCAGGUUUCGUAUAAGAUUUGACAUUAACAUUUUAUUUAAAGCCCUUUCUGUUCCCUCCACCUGAGAUACAAAAAAAGGUUAGUUAAAACAUGUUCCUUUCAACUUUAGAUUUUCCUUCAAGAUUACAAACUUAAAGUUUCACACUGUAUUUUUCUUAAAAGGUCAACAACAGUAGUUAUUCUAUUCUAUAUUAACAACAAAGCUUUAAGAAGCAAUAAACUAUGAUACCUAACAUUCUUUAACUAAAGGUGUAUGUAGUUAACAAAACGCAUGAAAGCCUUGGGUUCAUGGUAUUCUUAAAACUACGAUUUAUUUGGCGCCAGCAAGCUAAGCAUUUAACCUAUUGUGCUGAUUUACGUAAGUUCCAAACCACCAAUCUCAAUAGAAAGGCGUAUUAUACCCAAAAUUAUCAAAUGCCCUCACAAGGGAUGAAAGUUACAGGUGACACUGUUAUUUGAUAAAAAAUAUAUCUAUUAUAGAAAAUAGCAAUUUAUAGGCCAAACAACAUUUUUCCCAGCCCCAAACUUUUUAAGUAAAGGAACUGAAAUCAUAAGUUUCCCCUGUAUACUCUCACAAAAUAGGUGCCAUAAAUUGUUACUCAAAAACAAAGGCUUUUUCCAUUACAUUGGUUAAAUAACUUCACUCUGUUUUGGUUUAGGUGUUUUACGUACCUCGGGCAAAUCCUUAGCUGUAAGAAAGCUGUGAAUCAAAGAUAGAAAAAGAAGGAUAAACACAGAGAAAAUAGAUUAACAUAUUUUUUAGUGGAUAUCAUUUUUAUUUUCCUGGAGCCGAUGUUUUUCAAGGGAUUGCUCUGCAAUCCUUCUUCUUUCUUCAGCUUGUCUGUAGCUCUGCUAACCAGACAAACCUCAUGCAGGUGCUGACUGUGGCUUUGCUUUUUUUACUGGAGCAGCCUUAUGGCUCCCGACACUGUGGAUUGUGUUAAACCUGCCACUUGCCCAUCUGGAGUGUCCGCCUCUCUCUUGGUCUCUUGCCAUCAGAUGCAGGGGCCAGUUUACAAACUAACACCAUCUGUCAGCUGGAAGCCGUUACCUUGACUGAAGAGAGGGACUGCUCCCUGAAGGCUCCCUUCAGCAGCAGCUUGGAAAUCCCGCCUUUCGAGUUUGAGGUCAGGUCCCAAACUGGUGGGUGCCUUAAGCCGGCAGCGCGCGUCAUGCUACUUCCCUUACAGCCAGACUGCAGGGGUCGGAAAGUCAAGAGGCAGACUUGCGCUGCACGUGCCACGCUGGGCUCUCCGGUUUCUUGGUCACGUCAAGCACGGGAGCAGCAGGGCACCGUGUGUGCCACCUGGGUUCCCCGCGUCGUCUCCCCAUCGUGUAGUGAACGGAGGAGCAGGCUUCUCUCCUCCGGGGCCGAGGCAGGGACUCCUUUUGCCCUCUGGUUCCCAGAUGCGGCAACCCCAAGGUACCCAGAGAGCAUCCGUAGUUUAUAGGCUAGUGGGACAUGCGAUGUGUUCCCCGGAAGUUCAUCUUGGGGACAAAGACCUCUAACCUGGAAGAAUCUAAACUUGGCAGGACAGAAAGCACGAGUUCCCCGGCAGAUCACUGGGGGUCCUGCGAGCGGGGCCACUGCUGUUUCCACCCCUUGGCUUCAGAUUCAUGUGUCUUGCUUGUUGGGAACAGAGGGCCAUGGACAGGUCCUGUGCGGCACCCCGUCUUUGUAGAAUAUUACCUCCAGCCGGGCAUCUCAGCCGUGCCUUUGGCUGACCGACCCAGUGCUCUGUCCGCAGUGGAUCCCACGCUCACUGCAUUGCCUUUGCUACAAAGUGAAUCCCAUGUUUGAUAGGACACCAAAUGGGAUUCUUUUCUUUUUCCUUUUCCAUUAUGGUUUAUCCCAGAAGACUGGAUAGAGUUCCCUUGCUGUACAGCUGGACCUUAUUGUUAAAUCCAUUCUAAAUGUGAUAGUUUAUACCCACUGGCCCCGAACUCCCUGUCCAUCCACGCCUCCCCUUUCCCCCUCGAGAGCCCCAAGUCUGCUCUCCUUGGCCAUGAUCUAUUUCUGGUUUUUGUUUUGUUUUGUUUUACAUAGGAUCAUCUGUUCAUAUUUUAGAUUCCAAAAAUAAGUGAAUCGAAUCUAAAAAAGUGGAGAAAACCAUACAUGCACCCCCGUGCUCACUGCAGCACUGGUCACGCCAGCCAAGACAUGGAAGCAACCCAGGUGUCCAUCGACAGAGGACUGGAUAAAGAAGAUGUGGUACAUGUACACAGUGGAGUAUUACUCAGCCACAAAAACGCAUGGACAAUGCCAUUUGCAGCACUGCAGAUGGACCUAGAGAUUAUCAUACCGAGUGAAGCUUGUGAAGACAGUGAAGAUAAGAUUCAUGCGAUAUCAUUCACAUGUGGAAUCUAAGAAAAGGACAAAGUGAACUUACCUGGAGAACAGACAGACUCAGACCUUGAAAACAGGCUUACGGUUACCCAGGUGGCCGGGGUGGGGACGGGCGGCAUGUAUACACGGUGUUAUGGAAUGACUGGCCAAUGGGGACCUCUACCCACUGUUCUGUGAGAAUCUAUUUGGGAAAGGAAUCUAAAAGAAUGGAUGUGUAUGUUUUACUGAAUCACUUUGUUGCACAGCAGAAAUUAUCACAACAUUGAAAUCAACAUUGACACUUUAAAAACGAAGAAGCGAAUGACUAGGAUCUCUCCCCACUGGGAGGCUGUGUCCUCAUCCUGUCUUUCAAGGCUGCCCCUGAGAGGCUGUAGUACACCUGCUGCCCUUUUGCAUUUUGAACUCACACAGCAGCCAAGCCACCUGUGAGCCACGCUCAAGAUAGUUCUUCCUGUCAACCGGGCCCAAAGGCUUCUCCAUAUGGUGGUAGCUGUGAAGUGACAGAAAGGCUCUGAUACAGUGGCAGUGGAUGCCAGGCAGCUCUGGGCCAUUUAUCCUGCACUCCCCUGUGACCCGUGAACAGUCUUGUGCUCAGUCUUGGACGUACUCCUUGUGAUGGGUCAUUGCUGGGCCAGACCGACCUUAUGACUCAUUGAGUUUGGCAGAAGCCAUCCAACAAAGCACUGUCUUGUCUGCACGGGCACGUAAUGUCCCAAGGUCAGAUGUUCCACCUCUGUUGGAGCACAGAAGCACAGCAAGAUGGGCCCCCGCACCCCAGAAAAAAGGAGCUGAAAAGAAGAGGCACAUCAGCAGCCACGGCUGACACAGAGACUACCAUCCGGGCUACUGCCAGGCGCGUGCGCAGUAUGCCGUCACCCUCCAGGGCCCUGCUGACCUCUGCCGGGGUCAUGCUGGUGAAUUCAAGAGCCGGGGGCCACUACGCUGUGUCCCUUAGAUCCUUAAGCGUGGCACCAAUCACUGCCCUCCACUUCACUCCUAGGUGUGAUACCGCUUUAUAAUCUCGAUAGGAACAGGCAGUUUGAGAGGUUUCCACUUGGCUUUUCGUGUCGUGACAGCUCUAACCCUAGGUCAGGGACCCAACACGAGCGUAACAUUAAUUGCCGAGAAUGUCAAUGCCAAUUAUUCAGGACAGGGAGAAUUACCCCCCCGCAGGUCCACAGACUCGGUGAACCUUCUGUAAACUGGACCACGGGCCGGACCCCACUAAUCAUCGUGUCAGCACGUGCAGCCAGUCUGACAGGCAGGCCACGGUGACAGUCCUGGCGUCUGCGUAUCAGUCAGUUCAGUCCCUCAGUCUUCAAGACACGUGGCUCCUCGCUCUCCCCCGGGUGUAGCUGUCAGAGGAAAUGGCUAUUGGACACUUUGGACAAGAACUUCGGGAUUCAUUUCUACGUAGCCUUGUGGGAUCUGCAGGGUCCUUCUCGGUAACUGGCCGUCUCUUCAGUUCCAUGUCCGAAAACAGGCUCAGGUCCACACUGGUUGUGGGGGUCCUGAUUUUUUUCAUCGGGCAACUGUCUUGAUUUUCCAGUCACCCAUCUCUGACUUUUUUCUGCUGGUAGUGUCCUCUUACUCUACCUCUAGGGAUGCCCGACGGGGGGACACCACUUCUGCAACUCUCCACAAGCUGGGCUCCCUGGGCUGCUACUCAGACCUCACUGGCCUUGUAACUGUGACUCGCUGGCGUCUGUCAGUUAGAUGCUGCUUCCUGGCCUCUCUGCCGUGGGCUCCUCUCACCGCCAGGGCUCUCACCCAGACACGUUCUGAAGUAGCCUCUGUCUCUGUCAGCACCUGCCUACAGAGACACCACUGAGAGUGACAGCGGUGACCCUUUCACCAGCUGUUUCGUUAAUUUUCGUGCGUCUGCUACUUGUGCCUUUAUGUAGAAUGUGGCCAUCUGGUGGGUCUUCAAGAGUAUGGGGUGUUUAAACCGAAGCAGGGAGCUCCCGUCGUGGCGCAGUGGUCAACGAACCCGACCAGGAACCGUGAGGUUGUGGGUUCCAUCCCUGGCCUCGCUCCGUGGGUUAAGGACCCCACGUUGCCGUGAGCUGUGGUGUAGGUCGCAGAUGUGGCUCGGAUCCCGCGUUGCUGUGGCUCUGGUGUAGGCCGGCAGCUACAGCUCCGAUUAGACCCCUAGCCUGGGAACCUCCAUGUGCCACAGGUGCAGCCCUAGAAAAAGACUAAAACACGAAAAGACCAAAAAAAAAAAAAAA